CGAGCGGCGAACGGGUGAGUAACACGUGAGCAACCUACCCUCAACUUCGGGAUAAGCCUCGGAAACAAGGUCUAAUACCGGAUAUCACUCCUUUCCUCAUGGUUUGGGGUUGAAAGUUCUGGCGGUUGGGGAUGGGCUCGCGGCCUAUCAGCUUGUUGGUGGGGUAAUGGCCUACCAAGGCGUCGACGGGUAGCCGGCCUGAGAGGGCGACCGGCCACACUGGGACUGAGACACGGCCCAGACUCCUACGGGAGGCAGCAGUGGGGAAUAUUGCGCAAUGGACGAAAGUCUGACGCAGCAACGCCGCGUGAGGGAUGACGGCCUUCGGGUUGUAAACCUCUUUCAGCAGGGACGAAGCGAGAGUGACGGUACCUGCAGAAGAAGGACCGGCCAACUACGUGCCAGCAGCCGCGGUAAUACGUAGGGUCCGAGCGUUGUCCGGAAUUAUUGGGCGUAAAGGGCUCGUAGGCGGUUCGUCACGUCGGGAGUGAAAACUCGGAGCUCAACUCCGAGCCUGCUUCCGAUACGGGCAGACUAGAGGUAGGCAGGGGAGAGCGGAACUCCUGGUGUAGCGGUGGAAUGCGCAGAUAUCAGGAAGAACACCGGUGGCGAAGGCGGCUCUCUGGGCCUUACCUGACGCUGAGGAGCGAAAGCGUGGGUAGCGAACAGGAUUAGAUACCCUGGUAGUCCACGCCGUAAACGUUGGGCGCUAGGUGUGGGGGACAUUCCACGUCCUCCGUGCCGCAGCUAACGCAUUAAGCGCCCCGCCUGGGGAGUACGGCCGCAAGGCUAAAACUCAAAGGAAUUGACGGGGGCCCGCACAAGCGGCGGAGCAUGCGGAUUAAUUCGAUGCAACGCGAAGAACCUUACCUGGGUUUGACAUAUAGGGAAAUCCUCCAGAGAUGGGGGGUCCGUAAGGGUCCUAUACAGGUGGUGCAUGGCUGUCGUCAGCUCGUGUCGUGAGAUGUUGGGUUAAGUCCCGCAACGAGCGCAACCCUCGUCCUAUGUUGCCAGCACGUUAUGGUGGGGACUCAUAGGAGACUGCCGGGGUCAACUCGGAGGAAGGUGGGGAUGACGUCAAGUCAUCAUGCCCCUUAUGUCCAGGGCUUCACGCAUGCUACAAUGGCCGGUACAAAGGGCUGCGAAACCGCAAGGUGGAGCGAAUCCCAAAAAGCCGGUCUCAGUUCGGAUUGGGGUCUGCAACUCGACCCCAUGAAGUCGGAGUCGCUAGUAAUCGCAGAUCAGCAACGCUGCGGUGAAUACGUUCCCGGGCCUUGUACACACCGCCCGUCACGUCAUGAAAGUCGGCAA
rnacentral:rRNA from 1 species